rnacentral:rRNA from 1 species
CACGUAGGCACCAAGCGUUGUCCGGAUUUAUUGGGCGUAAAGAGCUCGUAGGCGGUUCAGUAAGUCGGGUGUGAAAACUUUGGGCUUAACCCAAAGCGUGCAUCUGAUACUGCUGUGACUUGAGUUCGGUAGGGGAGUGGGGAAUUCCUAGUGUAGCGGUGAAAUGCGCAGAUAUUAGGAGGAACACCGGUGGCGAAAGCGCGAGACUGGGCCAUAACUGACGCUGAGGAACGAAAGCCAGGGUAGCAAAAGGG